rnacentral:rRNA from 1 species
AGUCGAACGAAGCACUUUAACCUGAUUCUUCGGAUGAAGGUUUUUGUGACUGAGUGGCGGACGGGUGAGUAACGCGUGGGUAACCUGCCUCAUACAGGGGGAUAACAGUUAGAAAUGACUGCUAAUACCGCAUAAGACCACGGAGCCGCAUGGCUCAGUGGGAAAAACUCCGGUGGUAUGAGAUGGACCCGCGUCUGAUUAGGUAGUUGGUGGGGUAACGGCCUACCAAGCCAACGAUCAGUAGCCGACCUGAGAGGGUGACCGGCCACAUUGGGACUGAGACACGGCCCAAACUCCUACGGGAGGCAGCAGUGGGGAAUAUUGCACAAUGGGGGAAACCCUGAUGCAGCGACGCCGCGUGAGCGAAGAAGUAUUUCGGUAUGUAAAGCUCUAUCAGCAGGGAAGAAAAUGACGGUACCUGACUAAGAAGCACCGGCUAAAUACGUGCCAGCAGCCGCGGUAAUACGUAUGGUGCAAGCGUUAUCCGGAUUUACUGGGUGUAAAGGGAGCGUAGACGGCUGUGUAAGUCUGAAGUGAAAGCCCGGGGCUCAACCCCGGGACUGCUUUGGAAACUAUGCAGCUAGAGUGUCGGAGAGGUAAGUGGAAUUCCCAGUGUAGCGGUGAAAUGCGUAGAUAUUGGGAGGAACACCAGUGGCGAAGGCGGCUUACUGGACGAUGACUGACGUUGAGGCUCGAAAGCGUGGGGAGCAAACAGGAUUAGAUACCCUGGUAGUCCACGCCGUAAACGAUGACUACUAGGUGUCGGGGAGCAAAGCUCUUCGGUGCCGCAGCAAACGCAAUAAGUAGUCCACCUGGGGAGUACGUUUGCAA